GACAGAGGAUGCAAGCGUUAUCCGGAAUGAUUGGGCGUAAAGCGUCUGUAGGUGGCUUUCCAAGUCUUUUGUCAAAUCCCAGAGCUUAACUUUGGAUAGGCACGAGAAACUCGAGAGCUUGAGUAUGGUAGGGGCAGAGGGAAUUCCCGGUGUAGCGGUGAAAUGCGUAGAGAUCGGGAAGAACACCGAUGGCGAAAGCACUCUGCUGGGCCAUUACUGACACUGAGAGACGAAAGCUAAGGGAGCGAAUAGG
rnacentral:rRNA from 1 species